rnacentral:tRNA from 1 species
GCCUGGAUAGCUCAACUGGUUAGAGUGUGGUGCUGAUAGUGCCAAGGUUGCAGGUUCGAUCCCCUUAUGGGACA